ensembl:lncRNA
CAGAUUUGUACUUUGUCAGCUCGGGGGUUUGAACUUGCAAUCUUCCGGUUACUAGUCCACCGCUCUAACCACUAGGCUACCCUGCCUGUAGACUAAUCUGCAUCUAUACGAAGACGAGUGAAUGACUAUGAUUUUAGUCCUUACUUUUAUCGUCUGAAAAAUGGUUACAACAUAGACUUAUAAACCCUAUAUGCCAUCAUGUCCCCAAAUAAGCAUAGCACAAAAAUGAGUUUUGGUCAAAUAAUUUCUAAAUCAACACUUUCCUCACUAAAUCGUGGCAAAUGGAUCACUUUGGAUGGUCACUUUGUCAAUCUGAAACAACUUGGAAACAUGCAAACACACACACUGAAUAAGGUUGGGUCUGGGGAGUGAGGAGUGGGCUAGACUAAAUAAUAUUGUAGCCUUUGUGCCGCUGUGCAUAAUGAAAACGGCUUAUCAUGAUGAUGUCCCCGGGCGUUAUUUCGACUUGUUCCAUUUAUCCGUGCUGAAUUAAGGGAAUGUCACCUGAACCAUGUGACCACGACACCGUUUCGCUCGUCUUCGGGAUUGAGAACAAUAAGAGAAAGAGAAAAUAAAGAGAGAAAUUGGGAAGCGAUUAAAACGAAUAGAAGCCAUCUCUACAUGAGAGACAUACUAUUUCCUCAUUUAUUUAACAUUCAUUGAAUUGAAUUAUCCGUCCUUUUUAUCUUUAAAUUGUCUGCAUGUUUACCUUAAAUAUGCAAAUUUAUGUUUGCUGCAAGUGUUCUAUGAUUUAAUAUUUUUUUUCAUCAAUAUAUGCCUACGGGUCCGUCCUGAAUUAUUGGCACCCUAGGUAAAUAUGGAUAAAAAAGGCUGUUAAGAAGUAAAUUGAGAAGUAAAUAUUUUAUUUUAAAAAUAUGAAGAAUUCUUGGCAGGCCAGCAUUUAGUACCUUGUGCCCCCUCCCUUUAAUAACAGUUCUGAGUCAUCUCCUAGAAUGUUUUGAUGAGGUGGGAGAACACCCCCUCCCCUUUAAUAACAGUUCUGAGUCAUCUCCUAGAAUGUUUUGAUGAGGUGGGAGAACACCCCCUCCCCUUUAAUAACAGUUCUGAGUCAUCUCCUAGAAUGUUUUGAUGAGGUGGGAGAACACCCUCUCCCUUUAAUAACAGUUCUGAGUCAUCUCCUAGAAUGUUUUGAUGAGGUGGGAGAACACCCUCUCCCUUUAAUAACAGUUCUGAGUCAUCUCCUAGAAUGUUUUUGAUGAGGUGGGAGAACACCCCCUCCCCUUGGGGUUUAGUGUCAGGGGACUGGGAUGGCCAUAGCAAAAGCUUAAUUCUGUGGUCAGUGAACCAUUUUCGUGUGGAUUUGGAGGUAUGGUUUGGAUCAUUGUCCUGCUGGAAGAUCCAACAACGACC